UCGGUGGGGGAUUAGUGGCGAACGGGUGAGUAACACGUGGGCAAUCUGCCCUGCACUCUGGGACAAGCCCUGGAAACGGGGUCUAAUACCGGAUACGACCACUGAGGGCAUCCUUGGUGGUGGAAAGCUCCGGCGGUGCAGGAUGAGCCCGCGGCCUAUCAGCUUGUUGGUGGGGUGAUGGCCUACCAAGGCGACGACGGGUAGCCGGCCUGAGAGGGCGACCGGCCACACUGGGACUGAGACACGGCCCAGACUCCUACGGGAGGCAGCAGUGGGGAAUAUUGCACAAUGGGCGAAAGCCUGAUGCAGCGACGCCGCGUGAGGGAUGACGGCCUUCGGGUUGUAAACCUCUUUCAGCAGGGAAGAAGCGAAAGUGACGGUACCUGCAGAAGAAGCGCCGGCUAACUACGUGCCAGCAGCCGCGGUAAUACGUAGGGCGCAAGCGUUGUCCGGAAUUAUUGGGCGUAAAGAGCUCGUAGGCGGCUUGUCGCGUCGGUUGUGAAAGCCCGGGGCUUAACCCCGGGUCUGCAGUCGAUACGGGCAGGCUAGAGUUCGGUAGGGGAGAUCGGAAUUCCUGGUGUAGCGGUGAAAUGCGCAGAUAUCAGGAGGAACACCGGUGGCGAAGGCGGAUCUCUGGGCCGAUACUGACGCUGAGGAGCGAAAGCGUGGGGAGCGAACAGGAUUAGAUACCCUGGUAGUC
rnacentral:rRNA from 2 species